rnacentral:rRNA from 1 species
GACGGGUGAGUAACGCGUGGGCAACCUACCCAUAAGAGGGGGAUAACAGCUGGAAACGGCUGCUAUUACCGCAUAAGCUUUUUAAGACGUAUGUUUUACAAAGUAAAGGAGGCGCAAGCUUCCGCUUAUGGAUGGGCCCGCGUCUGAUUAGCUAGUUGGUAAGGUAGAGGCCUACCAAGGCGACGAUCAGUAGCCGGCCUGAGAGGGUGGACGGCCACACUGGGACUGAGAACGGGCCACACUCCUACGGGAGGCAGCAGUGGGGAAUAUUGCGCAAUGGGGGAAACCCUGACGCAGCGACGCCGCGUGAACGAAGAAGGCCUUCGGGUUGUAAAGCUCUGUUGUAAAGGACGAAUGUCUAAGGUAGUAACUGACCUUAGAAAGACGGUACCUUACCAGCAAGCCCCGGCUAACUACGUGCCAGCAGCCGCGGUAAGACGUAGGGGGCGAGCGUUGUCCGGAAUUACUGGGCGUAAAGAGCACGUAGGCGGAUGUAUAAGUCAGGUGUGAAAGACCGCAGCCUAACUGCGGGAUUGCACUUGAAACUGUAUAUCUUGAGGGCAGGAGAGGUCAGUAGAAUUCCUGGUGUAGCGGUGAAAUGCGUAGAAAUCAGGAGGAAUACCAGUGGCGAAGGCGACUGACUGGACUGACCCUGACGCUGAGGUGCGAAAGCGUGGGUAGCAAACAGGAUUAGAUACCCUGGUAGUCCACGCUCGUAAACGAUGGAUACUAGGUGUGGGAGGUAUCGACCCCUUCCGUGCCGCAGCUAACGCAAUAAGUAUCCCGCCUGGGGAGUACAAUCGCAAGGCGGAACUCAAGGAUGACGCGGCCCGUAACAA